rnacentral:rRNA from 1 species
AUUGAACGCUGGCGGCAGGCCUAACACAUGCAAGUCGAGCGGUAGCACAGAGAGCUUGCUCUCGGGUGACGAGCGGCGGACGGGUGAGUAAUGUCUGGGAAACUGCCUGAUGGAGGGGGAUAACUACUGGGAACGGUAGCUAAUACCGCAUAACGUCGCAAGACCAAAGUGGGGGACCUUCGGGCCUCAUGCCAUCAGAUGUGCCCAGAUGGGAUUAGCUGGUAGGUGGGGUAACGGCUCACCUAGGCGACGAUCCCUAGCUGGUCUGAGAGGAUGACCAGCCACACUGGAACUGGGGCACGGUCCAGGCCCCGACGGGAGGCAGCAGUGGGGAAUAUUGCACAAUGGGCGCAAGCCUGAUGCAGCCAUGCCGCGUGUGUGAAGAAGGCCUUCGGGUUGUAAAGCACUUUCAGCGGGGAGGAAGGCGGUGAGGUUAAUAACCUCAUCGAUUGACGUUACCCGCGGAAGAAGCACCGGCUAACUCCGUGCCAGCAGCCGCCGUAAUAC